GGCGGAUGACUUCCUCCACCAUCCACUCCAUCAGAUGAUAUGGCCUAACCACAAGCCAGAAGGAAAACCCUGAAAGUUAAUGGCCCAUCAAGACCCACUCAAGUGCUCCCUCAUGUGACUGCAAGCUGGCACCUGCCUGGACUCAAGAAGUGCUUCAUCUGGACACAGGAAGUGCUUCAUCUGGACACAGGAAGUGCCUCACCAUUUGAGACUCUAUUUAUCUCCAGCUUUCCUACUUAAAAAUUCUACUAAACAAUACCUAUUACCCUUCCCAUAUUCUUUCUAUACAAACUUCCACGGAAUGUUCUCCAAAAUCUGCAAAUGACAACAAAACUCCCGCAGCAAGAACAGGGCAGAAGGCAGACUUCAGCUAGUGGGGCGAAGUUACACCACUGAAUGGCCGAUUAACAAAGGUUGGAUUUUAUGACUUAGUUUCCUGAACAGAUGAAGAAAAGCAUUCUCGGUUG